UACGGAGGAUCCAAGCGUUAUCCGGAUUUAUUGGGUUUAAAGGGUGCGUAGGCGGAAUAGUAAGUCAGUGGUGAAAACCUGCAGCUUAACUGCAGAACUGCCAUUGAUACUGCUAAUCUUGAGUACAUUUGAUGUGGGCGGAAUGUGUCAUGUAGCGGUGAAAUGCUUAGAUAUCGUCAAGAACACCGAUAGUGAAGACAGCUUACUAGGCUACAACUGACGCUGAGGCACGAAAGUGUGGGGAUCAAACAGG
rnacentral:rRNA from 1 species